rnacentral:tRNA from 1 species
UCUUCAGUAGCUCAGAGGUAGAGCAGUCGACUGUUAAUCGACCUGUCGUAGGUUCAAAUCCUACUUGAGGAG